rnacentral:rRNA from 1 species
GACAGAGGUUGCAAACGUUGUUCGGAAUCACUGGGCAUAAAGCGCACGUAGGCGGCCAACUAAGUCAGAUGUGAAAUCCCCCGGCUCAACCGGGGAACUGCGUCUGAUACUGGUUGGCUUGAGAACGGUAGGGGUGAGCGGAACUCCAGGUGGAGCGGUGAAAUGCGUAGAUAUCUGGAGGAACACCGGUGGCGAAAGCGGCUCACUGGACCGUAACUGACGCUGAGGUGCGAAAGCUAGGGUAGCAAACGGG